CGAAUUUUAGUAGCGUUCGAGGCUGUAAUCGCGUUGCGUUUGCUAGGGCUUUGAGUUGGCAGGUGCGCUGUUUGGAUAUUUAUUUAUGCAUUCUCGAGAGUUAAGGAGGUCCUUCCAUUUUGAUGUUGAUUGUGACUGUAGGUGGCUUUAAUGUUAAAAUUAUGCUUAAACAGUACCUGGAAAAGGCGCUUUGCUGAAAGCGUGGGUGUUUUAUAUCUACAUGUGUAAUUUUAGUUGAUCUUUAUAAAUACAUUUGAGCCUAAUUUAAGAAU